rnacentral:rRNA from 1 species
GACGGAGGAUGCAAGCGUUAUCCGGAAUGAUUGGGCGUAAAGCGUCUGCAGGUGGCAGUUCAAGUCUGCUGUCAAAGACCGGGGCUUAACUUCGGAAAGGCAGUGGAAACUGAACAGCUAGAGUAUGGUAGGGGCAGAGGGAAUUCCUGGUGUAGCGGUGAAAUGCGUAGAGAUCAGGAGGAACACCGAUGGCGAAGGCAGCUCGCUGGGACGGUACUGACGCUGGAGACGCGAAAGCGUGGGGAGCAAACAGG